rnacentral:rRNA from 1 species
UACGUAGGGUGCAAGCGUUGUCCGGAAUUAUUGGGCGUAAAGAGCUCGUAGGUGGCCUGUCGCGUCGGCUGUGAAAACUCGGGGCUCAACUCCGAGCUUGCAGUCGAUACGGGCAGGCUAGAGUUCGGCAGGGGAGACUGGAAUUCCUGGUGUAGCGGUGAAAUGCGCAGAUAUCGGGAGGAACACCGGUGGCGAAGGCGGGUCUCUGGGCAAUUCCUGACGCUGAGGCGCGAAAGCGUGGGGAGCAAACGGG